rnacentral:rRNA from 1 species
CCUACGGGGGGCUGCAGUCGAGAAUCAUUCACAAUGGGGGAAACCCUGAUGGUGCGACGCCGCGUGGGGGAAUGAAGGUCUUCGGAUUGUAAACCCCUGUCAUGUGGGAGCAAAUUAAAAAGAUAGUACCACAAGAGGAAGAGACGGCUAACUCUGUGCCAGCAGCCGCGGUAAUACAGAGGUCUCAAGCGUUGUUCGGAAUCACUGGGCGUAAGGCGUGCGUAGGCUGUUUCGUAAGUCGUGUGUGAAAGGCGCGGGCUCAACCCGCGGACGGCACAUGAUACUGCGAGACUAGAGUAAUGGAGGGGGAACCGGAAUUCUCGGUGGAGCAGUGAAAUGCGUAGAUAUCGAGAGGAACACUCGUGGCGAAGGCGGGUUCCUGGACAUUAACUGACGCUGAGGCACGAAGGCCAGGGGAGCGAAAGGGAUUAGAUACCCCAGUAGUC